UACGAGUGCUCCAAGCGUUAUCCGGAAUCAUUGGGCGUAAAGGGUGUGUAGGCUGUUAUAUUAGUCUUUUGUUAAAUUCUUCGGCUUAACCGGGGGCAUGCAAAGGAAACGGUAUAACUAGAGGAUGCGAGAGGUGAAUGGAACUCAUGGAGUAGGGGUGAAAUCCGUUGAUAUCAUGGGGAACACCAAAAGCGAAGGCAAUUCACUGGCGCACUCCUGACGCUGAGACACGAAAGCGUAGGUAGCGAAUGGG
rnacentral:rRNA from 1 species